rnacentral:rRNA from 1 species
AGGACUGCCUGAUGAGGGGGAUAACUACUGGAAACGGUAGCUAAUACCGCAUAACGUCGCAAGACCAAAGAGGGGGACCUUCGGGCCUCUUGCCAUCGGAUGUGCCCAGAUGGGAUUAGCUAGUAGGUGGGGUAACGGCUCACCUAGGCGACGAUCCCUAGCUGGUCUGAGAGGAUGACCAGCCACACUGGAACUGAGACACGGUCCAG